UAUCAAGCUCAUCAAAUUUUCAAGAACGCCCAAUGUCAAUGUCCCUGCCCCACCACUAUCUGCCGUAGCUACCGAACUCCCCGUCGUCGACGGAGCAACAAUUGCAGCCAUCGGCGGUGGUUCGGUUGCCGCGCUGGCUGCCGUUCUAUCUCUGACCGACCCGGAGAGACGCCGCCGCCUCCAGGCCCAAGAGGUGGGUGGUGGCGACAAGGAUGUGGUGAAGGAAUACUUUAACAAUUCGGGG
rnacentral:misc_RNA from 1 species